ensembl:lncRNA
CCCAAGGCCCGUCUCUCAAAGAUUCAGGGCCUAUGUGUAAUUCAUACCAGCAGCCUCAUCCAGUGCGUAUUUUGGACAGGGAAGUAUAGUAAGGAGGCAGCCAUAAGUGCUGUUUUCUCCCCACCUCGAUUGUUAGCAAGCCAACAAUGCACACUCCUGAUGAGUGGAGGCCAGACCCCUCCACCCUCUCUUCCUGUCUUGGUGGACCUCCCAGCAAGCAAGGGGGCCUCCCAGGCUGAGGGGUCACUUGUGUGGACCUUCCACCCUUUAUAUAUUCCUCCCAGAGACACUGGUCCCAUCCUGAUGCCCUUUCCCCCUCCAUUAUACCCUGUUAAAUAGGGAUCUUUCUUGCAGGUUUGGUUAUAUAAAAGAUCUUCUGCCUCUAGUUUUCUGUGAGAGUUGUUGAAUAUGUAGAUAUAUUUUUGAUGUGUUUGUUGGGGCAAGAUGAACUCCACAUCCUCAUACUCUGCCAUCUUGAUCCUUUCCUAGAGUGAUCUCUUUACCCUUUAUUAUUAUCAGACACAUUCCUACUUUACUACUCAUACCAUGUACUUACUAUCUCAUAUUUGACAUAAAACAUAUUAAAUAACCAGGGUACAUGCAUGAAAACUCAGGUCCAUUAUGUGUGAUUUCUACUAUAAUAUGUAGCUUGCAUAACAAGGCAGCGUCCUGGAAUUCAUGAAGAAGCAGUAAUUCUGUGCUGAAGGUUGUGUUAUGACCAAGCACAAUGGGGCUUAAUUCAUAUUGUAACCAGAACAAGCAUAUGAGAAAAAUCAGGCCUAGUUCUUGAGGAAAGCAUCUUAUUUUAAGAAUACCAUCAGUUCUCAGAUUUCCCCAGGACACUCCAUUGGGAAAUUUGACUCCAGAGCUCAUCAACUUAACCACUGUAUUGUUUAGCAUUUUGGUUCAACAUAAAAGAGUUCAUUAAUGACAAGGACGAUCUUACUCACCAUUGCAUCUUGGACCCCUAGCCCAGUGCCUGGAUAUGAUACAUCAAUAUGAGUAGUUAAAAGAUUACAAGCAGACAAUUUUCUGUAUACUCAACAUGCCUAACAAUGACAUAGGCUGCCUUAUGAAAGCCUGAAUUCCCCAUCUUCAGUGCUAUCCAGAUAGGAGUAAAAGUUGAAUAAGGAUCUUUCAUAGAUAUGGAACAAGAUUCCUCUCUGAAUGGAAAAAUUUAAAAAAAAAAAGAUUUUGGUCUUUUUCAAGCACCAAGAUUCUGUGAUUUCUUGAUAGCCAUAAAAAUGUAUUUUCUCAGUGUUUUCCAGGGAGCUGUGAGGUGACAGUGUCUGAGAAUUCUUUGGGCAGAAGAUAGUCAUGGGGCUGCUCUCGUCUCGGGCACACAUAGGGCAGUGCUGAAAGGGAAAUACACACUAGAGAUGGAUGGAAAGCAAAAUCAAAAGGUCAGAAAGCAAGUUCUAUUCUCAUUUGCUGAGGUGACCAAGGACAGUGAGGUAGCGGCAAGACAGAUGGGCUUGCAGUGCCAGCCAAGCCUUCUGCACUUGUAAUGUUUUCAGGCAGGAUAACUCAUCCUGAUUAUUAAAUCAUCUCUUAGUGAUUUGAGAUGGUAAAAGCAUGCUAGAAGUUUUUGCUGAGCUGGGAGAAGUUUUCUUUUCAUUUAGGAAAAGAAAGCUUAGAGCCAGAAAGUAGAAAUGGGAUACAAGACUCAAACUUCUCAGGGAUACUACCUAUACUGCUGGUCUGGACUUUAAAGUACUUAAGAGCAGAAGAGUUUCUUCAGAAUAACAAGUGUAGAUUGUUAGUUCAACAUAGUUCAUAGUUCAAACUAUGACAAGUGUAGAUUCUCCUUGAUAUUUUAAUUAAUGACAAGGCCUUACAGAGCCUAAAGGAGUCAGCAUUACCAGUAUGUUCCAUGUGUUCCUGUAGCACCUAAUGGUUUUUCAAGUAUAUUCUAAUAACAAUAGGAAUCAUAGCUACAACAAUGUUUAUAUAUUUUAGCACUGAUAGCAUUUUUAUAUUCUAAGUACUUCCCUUCUGUGCAUUAACUGCUAAUUCUUAUGAUAGUUUUGAAAAUUAAGUAUCACUGGUACCAUCUUAGUGUGUGUGAAAGUCACUUGUCAUGUCCGACUCUUUGCUACAGUCCGCAGGGUCACAGAGUCGGACACGACUGAGCGACUUCAUUUGCAUUCAUUUAGCUGUAAGUUUUAAAUAGUUGGGCUAAGUAAAUGAUGGCUUCCCUAGUGGCUCAGAUGGUAAAGAAUCCGUCAGCAAUACAGGAGACCUGGGUUCGAUCUCUGGGUUGGGAAGAUCACUGGAGAAGGAAAUGACAAUCCACUCCAGUAUUCUUGCCUGACGAAUCCCAUGGCCACAGGAGCCUGGGGGGUUACAGUCCGUGGGGUCACAUUAUAUACAUACAGUAUAUGGGCUUCCACUUUAAUUUUUGCCUUUAGCUCCCAAAUGUAAUGCAUGGGCCUAGAUAUUACUCCCAUUUAAAAAAUGUGUUAACAACUCUGAGAAGACAAGUGACUGGCUUAUGAUCAUAAAGUGAGACUAGAUUUGAGACCAGCACUCUUUGACAUGAAUGCCUGUGCCAUUUCCACCACAUGCUUCCUCUCACAUAUAUUCUGAGACAGUCCUCACUUUAACUGUAUGAAAGUGGGGUUACUUCUGUCUCCAUUUUUGUCAGCUGAUGUGGACUCUGACUCAGCAAAAAUGAUUGAUCCAGGGUCCCAUGAUACAGCCAUUCCUUAACCCAUCUUUUGACUCAAAUUGGUAAGUAUCAUUGGUAAGUAUCAGAUGAUGAGGAUAUUUUCCAAAAAUGUUUAACUUGGAAAAGAGAAGGCCAAGCGUGAUCCAUGAAAGUCACUUAAAACCUAUAAUAGUCUGUCUCUGAAGAGAAACAAACUUGGUCUAUGUAGGCACUAUGAGACAGAACUAAAACCCAUGGAAAGAAACUAAAGGGAGAUAUAGGGGUUCAACAUAAGGAAGAACUUUCCAACCAUUAGAAUCUUUCAGUUGUGUCCAUGUUAAGUUGAUGAACUCGCUAUUGCUAGAGAGGUAUCUAAGCAGAAGCGGUCAGGGAUGUUGUAAGUAGGAUUUCUGUAUUCCUUAUCUGGAUGCCUCUGAUGUUCUCUGAAGUCCUUUCUAGAAAUUCAAAAUUCCAGUACUCUGAUUCUGUAGUCAAAUGGUCUUUAGCUGAAAACCACCUCCAGGAUAGGUGGAAAAACCCAAGCAGCCUGAGGGCCUGUACCUGGUAUCUUCGUUCACCUCUCCCUUGCUCACCCUGCUCUGUGCCCUAGGAUGCGAACUGCUGUGGACUUCAUCACAGGGAUCUUUGCCCUGUGGCUACUGGUGAAUUCAUCUAAUGAGCAGAGCAAGCAGAAGAUGGAGGAAGGAGAUGCCCUCCCUGUAGCGUCCCCACAGACUACUUUUCAUUCAGCGUGUCAGGUUCUGUCAGGCCAUUUUCUCCACAGAACAUGGCCUCCUUCUUUCUAGGUUUCUUCCUGUUUCCCCUGCAGGCCUAGGAAUGGUAGUGGUGCACUUCUGCUGUCCCUGGCUACAAGCCACUGGAGUACUCCCUGUGAUUUCUGUAUACUAUUCCCACAGUUUAGUAAACUAUCCCCUAAUCGGCUCUUCUCAAAGUGAGCAAUUUGAAUGUGCUCUUUCCUGCUCGACCCCAUGUGAUUCAGUAAGCCUGAGGUGACUACAUUUUUGCUAAGGGGAAAUCUUGGCUGUUGUCAAUAUAGAACAAC